CCCCUAGUAACGGCGAGUGAAGAGGGAAGAGCUCAAAUUUGAAAUCUGGCGGUCUAAGGCCGUCCGAGUUGUAAUCUAGAGAGGUGUUUUCCGUGCCGGACCGUGUACAAGUCCCUUGGAACAGGGCGUCAUAGAGGGUGAGAAUCCCGUCCAUGACACGGACUACCGGUGCUCUGUGAUACACCUUCAAAGAGUCGAGUUGUUUGGGAAUGCAGCUCAAAACGGGUGGUAAAUUCCAUCUAAAGCUAAAUACAGGCGAGAGACCGAUAGCGAACAAGUACCGUGAGGGAAAGAUGAAAAGAACUUUGGAAAGAGAGUUAAACAGUACGUGAAAUUGUUGAAAGGGAAACGCUUGAAGUCAGUCGCGUCCGCCGGGACUCAGCCUUGCUUCUGCUUGGUGCACUUCUCGGUGGAUGGGCCAGCAUCGAUUUUGGCCGCCGGAAAAGGGCGGGAGGAAUGUGGCAGCUUUUCGCUGUGUUAUAGCCUCCCGUCGUACACGGUGGCCGGGAUCGAGGAAUGCAGCACGCCUUUGGUCGGGGUUCGCCCACGCCACGUGCUUAGGAUGC
rnacentral:rRNA from 1 species